AUUAUGCAGCUUGUGGCACAACAGGAUUGCAUAGAGUGAAAAAUGGGAGCUAAGGCGUGACUUCACAAGUUGUAGGAGUUUCACGUGCGAUAUCCCUUUAACAAACUGUUAAAUUCUGUUUCCACGGCAGUGAUGGUUCACUUUUUACCCUCACUUAUCAAAAGACAGACAGAGCAAAAUCGGCAACAUGAUAUUGUUUGUUUGGUCAAGUGUUCCAUUCAAACACUCAAAGUUGCUACAUUG